UUAACAUGGUAAUACAAGCAAGAGGAGACAAAGAAGGCACAGCAAGAUGGACACAAACAAGUGCAUUCUAUGGCAUUGGAAGACUUAAAUGAAUAUUAGAUGUUAGCAAUAAGAAAAGUGUGCAUCGGUCUUGAAAA
rnacentral:lncRNA from 1 species